GGGGUUGUGGCUCAGUGGUAGAGUGCUUGCCUAGCAUGCACGAGGCCCUGGGUUCAAUCCUCAACACCACA
rnacentral:tRNA from 1 species